CCAGGAUUUGAACCGGUGAAACCCUGGGCCGCCACAGCAGAGCGCAUGAACUUAACCACUCAGCCACGGGGCCGGCCCCCAGAAAGUAUUUCAAGAACGAUUAUGUAAUCAGUGAAUAAAAUUUGAACAAGACGGCAGAACAGGUGAAGAAAAUGAGAUUUAGAGGUUGAGGUGCUAAAAGUCAUCCAUCUCAUAAUUAUUGGAUCCAGGACUCAAAAUCAGGUCUGCCUGUUUUUAGAGCCCGUGUUCAUGACCAUGGUGCUAUAUACUGCACCUCCUUAAGACAGGAAUGGAUGUACAUUACCAACAUGAAACACAGCAUCACAGGUUGAACAUCCAUGCUGUCUGGGUAAACAUGGUGGACUGAGCACAUGCAUCUACUUCCAUUCCCUCCUGAACUGCCGAUAAAUGACAGCAAAGAGUUCUGUUUGUUUUAAGGUAUAAACGUAAAAGGAUAGAAAAUGGGGAGACAACAACAAGAAGUUAGAAGUUGAAAAACAGGUGGACAAGUAGUAAAUAACAUGGUAGACCCAAGAAAACUGAAUCCUGAGUCAACAGUAGGAAAAGCGAAACCACCACCAAAUUUACAGCCUAGAAUCCCUAAAGCCUCAGGAACUGGUGGCUUCACAGACCUCUGGAAGCAGGAGGUGAAGGGGGAGGCAUAAAAUAAGAAUCGGUUGAAGGUUUAAGUAGUCAGAUACUCCCUUCAUCUCUACAUAGCUAAGCAGCCUCCCUCCCAAAUUAGUUUAUUUCCUGAAAAGGACAAAAUAGAGGAUUCUCUGGAUUGUAGGGUGCUAGGCAGUUACUGGCAGGGGUAUUGUACUCAAUAUAGAGGUUCAGUGAACAAAUGCAUACUGGACACCAGAUACGGAAAA